AGGGGUCUCGCACUGUCACCCAGGCAGGAAUGCAGUGGCGCGAUAAUGGCUCACUGCAAUCUCACUAUAUUGACCAGUAUGAUUUUCAACUCCUGUCUUUAAGCGAUCCUCACGCUUCGGCCUCCCAAAGUGCUGGGGUUACAGACAUGUGCCACUAUGCCCUGCCUAAAUAUGUUUAUAUAUACUACCGCCAAAGAAACAAUUUGAAGACGAUCUUUCCCCAGCCCCUCUCCUUCUGAUCCAACUCCAAGAGCUCACCCUCCCUGUAAGACCUGUAGCAGAGCACGUAUUGGCCUGCUGAUACUAGGGGCAAAGACCGGGCCGAUCAGAUGUUACAUGGCAUAAGGGCGAAGGAUUCUGAAAGAAAGACUGAGACUUGCUGGAGGAAGUACUAGUAGUGCCAAGGGCAGGAACUCAACUGUUAGGCAGAAGGGAGGAAUGUACUGUUGAUAUGGACAGACUCCAAGAAGGGGAGGGACUGCUGGGACUACUAGAACGAGAAUGCCUCUGCCCCUAUGGCUCAGCUCUGCAACUCUCUCUGCACAUUGGCUUCAUGCUGUUAGACCAGCUUCCUCCAUAUGUCUGGAAACAAGGCCACUGACAGCUCCCAACAUUUCAUCUUCUGCCUCAUCAUCAGACAGGCGAGGUACACAGAAGAAAGGCCAUGUGAGGACACAGCGAGAAGCAAGUAUCUGCAAGUCAAGAAGAAAGGCCUCAACAGACACCAGCCCUGCCAGCACCUUGAUCUUGGACUUCUGGCCUCCAGAACUG
rnacentral:lncRNA from 10 species